AACAUGCAAGUCGAACGGCAGCACGGGUGCUUGCACCUGGUGGCGAGUGGCGAACGGGUGAGUAAUACAUCGGAACAUGUCCUGUAGUGGGGGAUAGCCCGGCGAAAGCCGGAUUAAUACCGCAUACGAUCUACGGAUGAAAGCGGGACCCCUUCGGGCCUCGCGCUAUAGGGUUGGCCGAUGGCUGAUUAGCUAGUUGGUGGGGUAAAGGCCUACCAAGGCGACGAUCAGUAGCUGGUCUGAGAGGACGACCAGCCACACUGGGACUGAGACACGGCCCAGACUCCUACGGGAGGCAGCAGUGGGGAAUUUUGGACAAUGGGCGAAAGCCUGAUCCAGCAAUGCCGCGUGUGUGAAGAAGGCCUUCGGGUUGUAAAGCACUUUUGUCCGGAAAGAAAUCCCUGGCUCUAAUACAGUCGGGGGAUGACGGUACCGAAG
rnacentral:rRNA from 1 species